rnacentral:rRNA from 1 species
GACGAACGCUGGCGGCGUGCUUAACACAUGCAAGUCGAGCGGUAAGGCCCUUUCGGGGGUACACGAGCGGCGAACGGGUGAGUAACACGUGGGUGACCUGCCCUCAGCUCUGGGAUAAGCCUGGGAAACCGGGUCUAAUACCGGAUAUGACUCCAUGACGCAUGUUGUGGGGUGGAAAGCCUUGUGCGGCUGAGGAUGGGCCCGCGGCCUAUCAGCUUGUUGGUGGGGUGAUGGCCUACCAAGGCGACGACGGGUAGCCGGCCUGAGAGGGCGACCGGCCACACUGGGACUGAGACACGGCCCAGACUCCUACGGGAGGCAGGCAGUGGGGAAUCUUGCGCAAUGGGCGAAAGCCUGACGCAGCGACGCCGCGUGAGGGAUGACGGCCUGGU